GUGCUCACUUUGGCAGCACAUAUACUAAAACUGGAACGAUACAGAAAUUAGCAUGACCCCUGUGCAAGGAUGACAUGCAAACUCACGAAGCAUUCCAUAUUUUU
ensembl:snRNA U6 U6 spliceosomal RNA